rnacentral:rRNA from 1 species
CCUACGGGAGGCAGCAGUGGGGAAUAUUGCACAAUGGGCGGAAGCCUGAUGCAGCGACGCCGCGUGAGGGAUGAAGGCCUUCGGGUUGUAAACCUCUUUCAGCAGGGACGAAGCGUGAGUGACGGUACCUGCAGAAGAAGCACCGGCUAACUACGUGCCAGCAGCCGCGGUAAUACGUAGGGUGCGAGCGUUGUCCGGAAUUACUGGGCGUAAAGAGUUCGUAGGCGGUUUGUCGCGUCGUUUGUGAAAACCCGGGGCUCAACUUCGGGCUUGCAGGCGAUACGGGCAGACUUGAGUGUUUCAGGGGAGACUGGAAUUCCUGGUGUAGCGGUGAAAUGCGCAGAUAUCAGGAGGAGCACCGGUGGCGAAGGCGGGUCUCUGGGAAACAACUGACGCUGAGGAACGAAAGCGUGGGUAGCAAACAGGAUUAGAUACCCUGGUAGUCCACGCCGUAAACGGUGGGCGCUAGGUGUGGGUUCCUUCCACGGGAUCUGUGCCGUAGCUAACGCAUUAAGCGCCCCGCCUGGGGAGUACGGCCGCAAGGCUAAAACUCAAAGGAAUGACGG